GUAAACAGAAUGUUCAGUUAGAAUUGGAGAUGAGGAGCAGCGAGAAAAUCUGUCUUUCUCUUUCUGCAUGCUUUAAUCUACUAAUUCAUUUCUCUCUUUCUUAGCUCCUUCCUUUUCUUUUUUACUCCUUACUUCGUACCACCUGCUAUUUGGAGCAGCACCCAGUUAUCUUUGUCCAAGUUGCUUGCCUCUCUUCCUUAAAAAUAAUUUUUUUAAAAAUCUCCCCUCCCCUACAUAUUUUGUAAAGUGUCCUGCUCUAAUGCUCAUAUGCAGUUUUGUGGCUGUACUGUAAUAGCUGCUGCUGCCUCUAAAUAGGGUUACCAGAUAGCAACUGUGAAAAAACGGCACAGGGGGUAGGGGAUCGGAGGGGGGGGAGGAUAGGCGCCUAUAUAAGAAAAAUUCCCAAAAAACAGGACUGUCCCUUUAAAAAUGGGACAUCUGGUCACUCUAUCUCUAAAUCAUAAUCUUUUGGGGCAGGGUACCCUUCUCUUAUGUUACAGAGCUGUGUUUCUGUUUUUUAAAUAUAUGUGUGUGUGUGUGUGUGUGUUUAUAAACAUAAAGCUAAAAGUACAAUUUUUAUGCCUAUCUUUAUAGCUAAAUCUUUCAGACCAUGUUUUUGUUUGUUGUUUGUUUGUUUUUGCUAGGUGCCUGUGGUGUCACACCAAGGUUAAAAUCUGCUGCCUUAAGUGCGGAAGAUGUGACGAAGAAUUACUUGCCUCCUGGGACCACUGUGAGUUAUGUCUGUCGUCCAGGAUAUGAGAGCACCGAACUGAGACCUGUCAUUACUUGUCUUGAGAAUUUAACGUGGUCAGAAGCCCCUGAGUUCUGUAGAGAAAUCGUGUGGUGUUCCAAAAGGACCUGAGCAUGGCAGAGCUGUUGAUACAACAAAUUACCUGUAUGGUGCAAGAGUAAACAUCAUUUGUGAUGAUGGGUGAGUGUUGGGCAGUCGGUGCUGAUGAAUUCACAGAGCUCAGUUUGGUGUAGAACUACUGGUGAGCAGUGGAAAAUGAAUAAUAGAAAUUCUGAUCUAAUUUAAAAACAUAAUCUAAGCAAGUGCUACAGAUCUGCUGUCCUGGCUUCAGGGCCCUAUUGAAAAAGUAUAACCUUCACACUGAAUUUGGCCAGGUGUGGCUCAUGAUCCCUCAGUCCUCCAG
rnacentral:lncRNA from 1 species